rnacentral:misc_RNA from 1 species
AAGUACGAAAACAUGAAUUUUUUUUCUUUUUCUUUAUCUUCACCUGGAAGUCCGCGCAAAGUCCAUAGCCUAAAACCCUUUUCCUUAAACUCUCACAUAUAACACAGAAAAACAAGAAACCCCCAUCAAAGAAGCAAACAGUGGAUCGGAGGAGAUGCAGAAGAAGAGAGACUAAGCCUUGGAAUGAAGGACAGGAGAAAUCCAGAGGCAUAGAAAAUUGAAGAACGCGU